ACGAAAAUGAAUGCGGGCUAGCUAGCUAGCUAUUUAAGGGCUGAAAAUUAAGAGCUGAACUCUCAUGAUAAUUGCAUGAAAAAUGCUUAUAAAAUUUUAAAAACAUUAGCAAAUUUUUUUGAUGAUUUCAGUAUUUCGGGGACCAUGCACUAUUGCUGCAGAAACCAUAAAAGCUAAAACUUUUUCCUUUUUGGAUAGUAUUUUUUUCUCUAUAUAAAAUAAUAUCCACUUCUGUACGGGUUAACAAAUAAAAAAAGGUGUGUGUGUGUGUAUCAGUAUAGUUGAUAUCAGUAUAUAUUUGAUUAGUUUGGCCAAACUCUCUUGUUAUCCAUUAUAUAUAUAUAAAUUAAAAUGGAUAAAUAAAUAUGGCACAGCUAAUAAUAAACAAAGUGGGAAAAGUAAUCUUUCCCUGAUGCUUCUGUAUAUAGCUAUAAAUUUUAAAAAUAUUUUGAGCAUUCUAUGCGCAAAGUGCUCAAGCUAAAGUUUUUAUGCGCAACAACUUAUGAAUAAAGUUAAAAUGAAUCUUCCUAAAUUUGAAGCAUCAAAAUGAAGUAUAAUGUAACAGGUAUAUAUACCUGAAAUUGAUCUAUGUUUAGAUUAUUUUUUAAAUUUUUCGUUAUUUUUAUAACUUCCACUUGACUCUAGUUCAUUUGUGGUUUAUUUUUCUAAGAUUUUAAGUUACAAAAGAGCCCGUAAUGUAUAUGUAAAGUAUAUUUUUUUACUGUAUAUACUUCGGUGUUAUGUUUGGUGUGGUAAAGUAAAAAAUUUUUAUCUGAAGAUUGACAAAAGUAUUCUUGGGCAGUUGAUAUGUACAUUUAAGAUGUAAUAACCAAUAUUUAUAGGCAUUGAUGUGGACUAGAUAUAUGACAUUUAGACAAGAUGGUAGACAGAGACACAGGACAUAACAUAAAAAAAUAUGGAAAUAUUUAAUGUAAAGAUGACACGAUAACAUAUAGAAAUGUAGGCUAGUGAUGGCCAGGCAGCCUCUCGAAAUUAACUUUUUUUUAUCAUAUCCACUGAAAAAAAUUCAAGCUAUGUUCUAUAACUAUUAUUUAAUCUUGUUUUUACUGACACAGCAUUGUUAAAGUGUGCAGUGAAAGUAAAUUUUGUGUUUGGGUGGAUAUUUUUAUGUUGAUGACAAAGCUCAAUCUUUUUGUUAAAGUUUAAACUUAGGAAAAAUAAAAACGAUGACGUUAAACUUGGAAUGGUGUGUUUUAAAAUCGUGUGACGAUAUUCCCCCAAAAUAUUUAUUAUAUACCCAUCAUUAUAAUUAUCGAGUUCUUUAAUUUAGGCAUUUUAAGAGAGACCGUAUUAAUUUCAACCAAAUGUUUACAUCAAGAUCAAUUAAAAUUAGCCAAGUUUAUAUGGUUUUAAUAAAAUUUGUUAACAGAUUUGCUUCAACCCCACUCCCUACCCCUUUCACAUAAAUGUUUCGAAUUAAGAAACAUUUUUUGUCACUUUUCUCCAACUCUGGGGCAUCUUAAUACCUUGUAUAUUGUAAAUAUACAUAAAGUCAUUGUUAGGGAUUUUGUGUUUGCCAUUAUUGGAGAUGCAGCAGAGACUUGAGGAAUAUUUAGGGUUGGACGAGAUGCUCGAUAAUAAGAACAAAUCCUGUUUUUAUUUUAUCGUUUUUAUUUCAUAAAUUUUUGGAGUCCAGUAAGCCACAAUUUUUUAAAGCUUUUCGCAAAAUAAUAUAAUGUACAUUUAAGGUAAUGCUAUCGCUCCAAAACAUUUUUUACUGUGAACCUGACAAAAAUGUUUUGUUGAGAAAGAAUAUAACUACUUAAACAUUACAAUAUAUAUAAUCCCUAAUCCCUAAAACAAGAGUAUUUCGACUGGAAUGGAUUCUUUUGUUUUUAUACAUAGUAUGGUAUUUGACUUUAUUUGAGAGCUCUCAAUUUAGUAGUAUUAAAAAUAUAAAUAACAAUGAUGUGAGGAACAUGUAAAGAUAUGUAAUAAUUAAAUAGAGUAAUUUGGGUUAUAUACAGUUAUCAUAAAGUGUGACCUUAUUAUGUAAAGAGCUAUGAUUUCAAACCUGUUGAAGAACUAAAUAAUCUUUAUGAUAUAAUGUUUUAUAGUUUUAGACUGACACAAAAAUUAUCAGUAGUAGGGAAGCUUUCAACAACAACAUGCUGAAGGUUAGACAGAAAAGUCACAAAUAGGUUGAUUGUCAUUGAAAUUAAGUAUGGGAACUGGACAAAAUACAAUUACUGUAGAAAAUUGUGAUACACUGGAUUAGCAUUGCUUCAGACUUUGGCGGCUUGUUUACGACAGCACAAAAUUAACGAUAGUACAGAGAAGCACACAUAAUUCAUAUAUGGAGUGCUGCAUUGUUACAGUAAUGUGUUCAAGUUGGAUGAAAAUGACACUGUUGAUUAGUGCUCUGUAAUUAACCCUAAUAUUAAUUGGAAUAAUAUAUAUUCUUCUUUUUUUA